CCCAGCCAAUUUGCAAGCAUUUCCAGGGUGCUCACUGUCACUAAAGCUCAGUGAAACCUCUCAGUGGUGUCUUCUGUCACCUCCACUAGACCAAAAAUUUAGUUCUAGGCUGCUUUAUGAUGCUCUGGGUUCACUUGUUUGUGCUUUCCUACUUUUCGUUGUGUCCAGAGCAAUGCAAAACAUCAACAUAUGAAACCUUCCAAGUGAGGAAACUCCAGACAGCACAGAAACUCCAUGAACGCAGACAGCCCCAGCUCAUCACACCUGCCAUUUUCUCCCGUCCCUGGAAUAUGGGACCCAAUGGCUUGGCUCAAGUUUCAUCUUACAUAACUGCCACUCACAGGGUCCUUCUGAGAUUUUCCUGUGGGCUGUUUAGAGACUUGCAAAGAUGCUCCGUGGCCCAGCAUAUCUUAGCUGUUAUAGACUUAAUUCCAGAGCUUUGUUCCUCAGGCACAACGCAACCUUUUUCUUUGUACAGCAGAGGUCAUGUAUGCUGAGACAGAGCUUCCCUAGAUUCUGUUGCAAGAAUAAUGAGUGUUUCUCUGCAAAACCUGGGAAAAAAAAAAAAAGAAGAAGAAGAAGAAAAAAAAAAGAAGGAUUUCCAUGAUCCCCAUCAUCAUCUCAGUGCAAAAGGCCAACGCUCUCCGGUACAAACAAAAACAAUAAUAAUAGCAAACAAACCACUCUAUCAAACCACAGUACUCCUCUCCACUCUUAAUUCUUCCUUGGGAAAAGAUGGAGAGAAAACAAAUUAGCUUCCUGAGGGUUACCACUGCUUAAAAGGAUCUGUUGAUGAAAUCAGUAAAAGAACAUACUGAGCUUGCUCUGAAUAGGCAAGGGCUGUAGAAGAGCCUCAAGGAAAAUUCGGGCGCAGUCCGACAUUGAAGAAGUUGGGUCUAUUUCUAGUUAUCUCAGUAUUGACGUAGCUCAACCAUUGUGAGGAACAGGAAAUUCAUAAAGACUGGGUUAGUCUUUUUGGCAAGAGGCUGGCAUCUGCCAUGGGACAUUAAUCCAUUCUAAGCUGCAGUAAGCUGAGCUGCUGGGUUUGUAUUCGUGUCACUGAGACUGCUUACACUCACUGCUGGUCUAUAAACUCCUAUUAGUCUGGCUUGGCAGUGGCUUACAUCUUGAUGGAAAGAAUAGCCUAUGGAUCACGAUCAUUAAGUAAUAAUUUAUACAAAUUCUGCUAAGCGAGUCAUUUUUCCUGAGUCCGCCUUCUAAAAUAUUUUGGGGAGAGAUGAAUAAAGCAAAAGUGGGAUUUUUUUAGAGAAAGGGGACUAGAAGGUCCCAGGGCAUUUGUCAUUGUAAUAAACACAUCUGCCAGCUGAAUUGGCAGAGCUGUUAAAUUCAGUUUCUAUGAAGAGUUCCUCCAAUGCUGAGAUCUUGGAUGCCUCGCAAAAACUUUGCUCUCUGGUCAGCUGAUGCAAAAUAAAAUUAAGGAAGAAAAGUAACUGACAGCCACAGUUAGCAUCUUUGUUUUUCUGAAUAUCAGACUGUCCAAAACGUUAAUGAGAAGAGGAGAACUCAUAAGGGGUGACUUGACAGGAAUCACAUUUUAAUUUCCUUUGUGAAAUAUUGCAGGCUUCUCUCUCUCUCCAGGGAGCACCUUGCUGUUCUUGCCUGUGGGGACCACGUAUCCUCCCUGCAAAGAAAACAUAUCCCACGGUAUUUCCUUCUUUGUUCUCCCAGAUGAAACUUCCCAGACGAGCUUAAUGGGAAUCCCAUUAAAUUUUUUAAUUCGUUAAACUGGUUUUUAACUUUUCAGGCUCCUGUCGUGCCAUAACACUGACUGACAAAUGACAGGGCCCUGCUAGGUUUGUCCAGUGUGUAACGUGAGCUCCCAGGGCUGGAAGCAAUAAAACAGUUUUUUGAGAAUUGGGGUUUUGUAAGAGACACGCUAGCCCUGACUUCACCACGCCCUUUGAUUUUGUUAGCUGCAGUUUGGCAAGCUAUGGUUGGGUUUCGUUAGAGUUGCUAUCAUUAGAGGCUCUCCCUUCUCAAAGGUAGGGAGGAUUUUCUGGGUGCAUCAAGGUCAUUUAAGAGCAUAUAAGCAGGAAGGGGAAUGGCUGUUUAUGAGGGUGGAUAGUGAUAGGAUAAGGGGGAAUGGUUUUAAACUGAGGCAGGGGAGGUUUAGGUUGGAUACUGGGAGGAAGUUUUUCCCCCAGAGGGUGGUGAUGCACUGGAACAGGUUGCCCAAGGAGGUUGUGGAUGCCCCAUCCCUGGAGGCAUUCAAGGCCAGGCUGGAUGUGGCUCUGGGCAGCCUGGUCUGCUGGUUGGCGACCCUGCACAUAGCAGGGGGUUGAAACUCGAUGAUCUUUGAGGUCCUUUUCAACCCAGGCCAUUCUAUGAUUCUGUGGUUUAGGAAGAGAGCUGAUGAGUGCCAUGCUGGAGCCCUGAUCUGCAUGGACAACGUCAGAGUUGCAUAAUGACCUGACCAAGGCUCACACCGAGCAGUUUGUAAGAGAUGACUUUCAGAUGAAUCAAAAGGCAGCCUCCCCUUCCCACGCUGACCUCCUUGGCCAGCCUGUUUGGAGCUGCCCUAAGCUGAAAAUCUCAUCUAUCUUUUACCAUUACAUUUUCAAAAGACUGUGGGUUGAAAAGAACAAAGAAAAGCUACCAUUAAAGUCUGGCUCAGCUACUAUCGUCUCUUGCUGGUUUUGGAAACAAAGUAAAGAGAUGUCAGUGGAACAUUUCAGCUCACUGUCAUUAAUACAGUUGGGCUGUCCUGGAAGAAUGGCUCCCUCGAAAUUCAGAACAUAGUUUCUCUGGCUUUCUAGGUAAAACCAAUCAGAUCCCAGACUGAGCAGGGGAACAAGGCAAAGAAAUGGUGGAAGAAAAUGAGACUUUUAGCUACACCACACAAAACAUCUGAAGCAGCAGAGGUGCAGGAAAAUUAGGAGGUGUGCCCAAAGCUACCUUGGGCAGGGAACACAGGCAGGAGCUGACAGCACACUUGCAAGGCCCACUCCUCCCUCCGAGGCACACAACUGAUUGGGGAAGGUUGGCUCUGCACUCUGGAUUUCACUGGUUCUUGUGUUCCCAGUUCAUACUGGGAUGAGUAGGCAAGAGCAAAGGACGUAGCCAUUGGCACGGCGGUACUACUGGGAAGCACUGCAGUGAAAGCUGUACUUCUCUGCCCUGGCCAAGAACCACAGUUCUGAAGAUUUCCUAUGGGCUUUUUCAAUCUUUGCACUCCAAGAUUCUGAGGCGAGUGAUGAGCUCACCAAUGUUGGUAAAAAUGAAUUUGAAAGUCUAACUGGUUAUCACUGGAUAUCACAGAUGGAGAAUAAUUACUUCACAGAUUGGCAAACUGAGAUUAUCUGCAAAUAUUAUGAGAGACAUUGGAAGCUCUUCUAAAACACGCCAUUAUUUUAAAUAGCAUUUUGCAAUUGUGGUACCUCCCUUGUGGAUACUGUGGCUGAAUAUUGCAAGUAUGAAAAACAAUGCCAUAGUUGAAGGUUUGUCGCUGAAAAGCACCACCUCGUGUUUCCUACACCCCGCUUCCCACAGCAAGACUUAUUCUAGAGUAGAAAAUAAAUGAAGAGGUAAUAAUUAACUAAAUGUGUCUCAAAUACAAGAAAUCCUACACAGAGCUAUAUUGUUCACCUUUAAUCGCUGCAAAUGAAAUGAUGUUUGGUGGAUUUCCUGCAGGUUACCAAGAGGCAGACGGUUAAACCUUUUGCCUUGAGAUGUGCUCCUUCUCCCAUUAUUGGCCUUCAUCUUCUGAGCUCAGCUUACAGAGAGGUCAGUUUAGUCUCUGAAAUCUAAUUUCAAGAAUAAGCCACAAACAACAAAGAAUGCUGCCAGACUCUGUUCAGUCACGACGAUAAUAGUUUUCCUCCACUCAGCAUCUCAGCUGGUGAUUAUUCUUGAUAAAUGCAAAGCCCAUCUGUACAUUAUUGUGUCUAAACAACAAACCUGUAGCCAUGAGAGCAAUGGCUUGACCAAAGUGUUGCACUCAGGUCAGGGUAAUUCCUGAUACAUGUACAGACUGGGAGAAGAACUCAUUGAGGGCAGCCCUGCGGAGGAGGACCCGCAGUCUCUGAUAGAUAAAAGGCUUGACAUGAGCCACCAGUGUGCUCUUGCAGCCCAGAAGGCCAACAAUAUCCUGGUCAGCAUCAACAGAGGGGUGGCCAGCAGGGAGAGGAAGGUGAUUAUUCCCCUCUGCUCUGCCUUCAUGAGGCCCAGUACUGCAUUCAGACCUGGGGCCUCCAGCACAAGAAAGAUGUGGAGCUGUUGGAGAAUGUCUAGAUGAGGGCCACGAAGAUGCUCAGAGGGCUGGAGCACCUCUCCUGUGAAGAAAGGCUGAGGGAGCUGGGCUUGUUCAGCCUGGAGAAGAGAAGGCUCCGGGGACACCUCUCUGUGGCCUUCCAGUACUUGAGAGGAGUUUAUAAACAGGAGGAGAACCAACAUCUCACACAGUCUAAUAGCGAUAGGACAAGGGAAAAUGGCUUUAAACUAAAAGUGGGGAGAUUUGGGUUAGAUGUUAGGCAGAAAAUCUUUACUCAGAGGGCGGUGAGGCCCUGGCACAGCUGCCCAGAGAAGCUGUGGGUGCCCCAUCCCUGGAGGCACUCAGGGCCAGGUUGGAUGGGGUCCUGGGCAGCCUGAGCUGGUGGGGGGCAGCCCUGCCCAUGGCAGAGGGUUGGGGCUGUGUGGGCUUUGUGGUCUCUUCCAACUCAAGCCGUUCUAUGGUUCUUUGAUCUAUGAUUCCUGUGGCUCUUUUCAAAAAUGCAACAAACUAUUGAUAUUUUCAGACCAGAAAGCUAAACCAAAGUGUUUCUUGCCUCCUCCUAAAAUGGUUUGAAAAAACCCUCUGAUUCUUAAACUUAGAAAUAUUAGUCCCAUGUUCUUUGUGAGAUUAGAAUCAGAAUCACAGAAUCGCAGUGGUUGGAAGGGACCUCUGGAGAUCAUCCAGUCCAUACUCACCUGAUAAUACCAGUUCCCAAGAGUAAGUUGCAAGAGUUAGAGGAAGAGACUCUGAAAAUCUUCUUUUCUGAUCUCCUGUAUAAUCCAGUACAGAGAAUUUCACAAAAUCAGUGGCAAAUUUCUGUCUUAUUAGCAGUGUUGGCUCCUUGUACUCCACACAGCCCUCACUCACCCCUUUUGAUGUCAGCUGAAAGGGUGCUGUUGAAUUGGAGAGGACCCGUACAGAAGACAGCAGUUCCUGGAGUCCUACAAGACUCUGUCAGGGAGAUCUUGGUAUUUUACCUCAUACCUUCUUCAAAAAUGAUAAACCAGAAGACAAGUAAACUGUGUUACAACAUGAAGGAUAAAAUCCAUAAUUCAGGACAGCACAGAAAGCACCUGGUUUCGUGCUUCAUUUCCAUUUCUAAACAUAGAAGAGAUUCACAGAAGCAUCUGCUGAGCUUUUGAAUGACUUUGGAUCAGCCGUAAGUGCCUGUAUGCCAAAAGCAAACCAAACACACACAUGAAAACAGGCAAAUUGCAGUGACACAGGUCAGUUUACAUCCCAAACCGAUAGCAAGUCUGCUUUGGUGACGAAUGCACCCAAUAGAAAGAAUGCAGAAACUUUGCAUGUUCUUCACAACAUGAGAAUGCUGAACAUUAAACAGUUGCAAAAAAUAUGUACUUAACCUUUGGGUUUUAUAUCUCUGCUUUUCAUUCUCUCCGCUUAUAGAUAAGGACAGUCAGAUUAGAUGGAGAUUUGCAAGUGGUAAAAGACGUUGUUGUUCAAGGAAUAGUUUCUAUUCGUUAUGGUAAAUACUUGGUCAAAGCAAAACUUGAGAUUUUGGGAUAGCCACGUUGUGUGCCGAGAUCACUGAGUUACAGCCUGAGGGCCACAGCAAAAUCAGGGGAAAUUUCAGAGAGCAGAUCAGACCUUUUGGAGUGUCGUUGACUGUACAGAAGAAAUGUCUUCAUUUGCUUGGUUUGAAGGGCUCCCAGGGAAAAAAAAAAAAAAAGUUUAUAUAUAUUACCUGGAGUACAGAAAUAAUGAGAAAUGUCAAUCUUGCUCUCUGCUUGCCUGGGGGAUUUUCUUCUCCUCAGAGGGGUGCAAUAUUCACCUCUGCUG
ensembl:lncRNA